GGAAAAGAUACGCAUCAGUAGGAAAUUUGUGUUGCAACCUGAUGAGUCUACGGAUAUUCUCAGCUCUUGGCCAAUGUGCGUUUUGUGGAUGGAGAUGCCAUUAGAGAAAACUUCCUAUUUUGUAAGGCACUGCCAGAAAAAAACAACAGGAGAGGAAAUUUUUUGGGUCAAAUCGGAAUAUCUUGACCAGGGAGGACUUACGUGGGAAAAUUGCACUGAUGGAGCUGCAGCCAUGGUCGGGCACACCUAAGGCUUCGUUAGCAGAGUGAAGGAAAGAAACCCAGAUCUUAUUGUUACACACUGUUUUCUGCACAGUGAGGCCUUCGUUGCAAAGACUUUACCAGCAGAACUAGUUCCUGUGUUGGAUGAUGUUGUGCACAUAGGGAACUUUGUAAAGACAUGACCUUUGAAAAGGUAUAUUUGCAUCUUUGCUCCAUACAGCGGUCCGAUGGUUGUAGCGUGACAAGUUGCUGGCCCGUGUGUAUGAGCUGCGGGAGGAACUUAAAGUGUUUCUGACAAAUGAGAGGUCUGAUUACUCAAAUCUGUUUGCAAGUGAUGAGUGGUGUGCAAAGCUGGCAUACCUGGCAGAUAUAUUUCAUCAUCUGAAUGAACCGAACACACUGAUGCAAGGCCGAAAUGAGAACCUGCUUACAAGCAUGGAUAAAAUAAAUGGAUUCCAUUUAAAGGUGCACCUCUGGCAACAACAUGUGCAAAGUGCCAACCUUGAGAUGUUCCCACUCACAGAGGAACGGCAAGAUCACCCUGCUGCACUGUGCGAGGUAAUAGGUAAACAUCUGAAAACUCUUGAGGAGAAGUUGUCAUUUUAUUUCUCUUCAGCCUCCACUGAAUGCCUUGACUGCUGUUGGAAAGGACAUGACUUUACAGGAGCAGGAGGAACUAACUGAACUGAAACAAGAUCGUGGUUUAAAGCUAAGAUUUGCUGAACUUCCUUUGGACAGUUUUUGGUUGACUGCUGCCAAGGAAUUCCCCAUUCCGGCCAACAAAGUUUUGACAUUGCUCCAAUUUUCCACAACAUAUGUGUGUGAGCUGAGCUUUUCAAGCCUAACUGCUAUAAAAACUAAAAACAGAGAGAGACUGAAAGCUGGUGAAGAAGAGCUUUGUGUAUGCCUUUCUUCAAUUCCUGCCAGGAUAUCGGCUUUGUGUUCAUCUAAACAGGCCCAGGUUUCACUCUAAGAAGUUGCCUUAAUCACGAUGAACCCAGGCUACGCAGGCAGGACCGAGCUCCGGGACAACCUGGAGGCCGCUUCAGAUCCGUCUCCAUGAUUGUGCCCAAUCACGCCGUCAUCGCAGAGGUGGACUUGUGAGCUGAGGGCUUCAAGUCCAGUGAGACUCUGGCGAAGAAGAUGAUUCAGCUGUAUAAGCUGUGCAGCAAGCAGCUUUCCCGGCAGGACCACUACGACUUCAGCAUGAGAGUCGUCAACUCUGUUAUCGUCAUGGCCGGGUCUCUGAUGCGAGAGAACCCACACCUGAGUGAGAACGUGGUGUUGAUUAGAGCGCUACGAUACUCCAACCUGCACAAGUUACUCAAGGAUGACCCAGAACUUAAAAUAAAAUAAAUUGAUAAAUAGUAAAGAACGCCAAAGCUUACAUAUGGAGUAUCAAAGGUGUUUGCUCAAAUUUAGCCUAUUACCCAAAAACACUUAAAAUUCAACUUAGAAGCCAAUACUCACAUCUACCUCUGAGACCAGUUGGAGAUAGAAAAAAUACACCAGCCGUGAGUGAGAAGAAGCAAGGGUCCAGCUUUAUUGUUCCGUUCCACCACACGAGAUCCACACCGAUGAGAAUUCUCAGAAGUGAUCUGAUACCCUGAGCUUAAGCUCCAGUAUUUAUAUUGUAUUUACCCAGUAAAUAACCCAUAUGUUUCAAGAAGACUAUGAUAUCACUACCAAUAGGGUUAAAAAAGAGCUCAUCUACCUUACUCUUAUGUUCCAGAAAAGGGCUAUUUCACUUACACAUAGAAUCAAAACCAGGGGUUCUCAAAUUACACAUAAAAUCAAAACCAAGGGAUUUCUAAUAACCCAGAAAAUCAAAACCAAGGGAUUUCUAAUAAUCCAGAAAAUCAAAACCAAGAGAUUUCUGAUAACCCAGAAAAUCAAAACCAAGGGAUUCUACUAACCCAGAGAAUCAAAACCAAGAGAUUUCAAUAACCCAGAGAAUCAAAACCAAGGGAUUUGAAUAACCCGUAAAAUCAAAAGUGGAGAGACAAAACAUUAUCAUUAUCACAGGAUCACUGGAAUCAGGCACUAGGAGGAAAUUCCAGGACAAAUUAGGAAAUACAAUUAACUGACAUUUGCAAAUUCUUUGAAACUAAAAAGCUGUAAUUAUAUACUAUAUAACUUUUUUUUUUAAAGCAUUUAAAGUAUAUAACAUUAGCACCUUGUAAUGUUAUACCAGAUGAAAAGUAAAGAAUCCUGGAACAUCUGAACAUCCAUAAUCUGAAAAUCUUGAACCUAGUGUCAAUCGAGUCAAUCCAAUCUUUCUUGUGUGCGUUUAGCGGUAUUCAGUCGGACCUCUUUCCUGGUGUGGGCGUCCCCGAGCACGACUACGGCGCGCUUCAGUCGAACAUCGAGGCAGCUCUAUGCGCCCGCUCCCUGCAACCCGUCUCCAGCAUGACCGCCAAGGUGAUCCAGAUCCACGUCCCAGUAUUAGCACAGCUGCUUCUGCGUGUUCACCUACGUGAACACAUACAAAAAGACGUGAUGUAUAUACAAUCUCAUUGUAUACGAAUUGGGCAUUCUCGCUGACGAUAUAGCAUGGAUAGUUUAUAAUGAGUGCGUUCAUACUGUAUAAACCUGGGAACUGAUCUGCAUAUGCACUGCUGUCAGAGCUGCAGUUAUUUUUAAAAGAUUUAUUAACAGCUUCUGACCAAUCAGAUCUGACGACACCCAUGAUUCCCUUCGCUCUGAAGAGAAGGUGUGUAGCCAUCUGUACCCUUUCAUUGACGAGCUCAGUGACGAUGUCUCUGGCGUGGACAUCCACAGUAAUGAGAGCUGUGAUGAUGCUCUGAUGUAUUUUGGGUAAGUUACCCUGAACCAGAGUGGCCAACACAUUCAGCCUCUGUAUAAACACACACACACACACACACACACACACACACACACACACACACACAGAGUAAUACCCGUACAUUACCACAUAGUACACCAUACACCAUUAUGUCAUGUAAUCAGAGAAGGAAAUCUGAACUACAGUUCCCAGCAGCCACUGCAUCACAGUCACAUGACCACCUGCACCUGGAUCACAUUCCUGGUAAGCACUUGUGUAUUUAGCCAGUUUUCACUGCACUCUUUGUCUCACGUUUGUCCUUCUUUACCUUUGUCCCUGGUGCUGUGUUUUUCUCUUUGGUUUAUGUUUAGUCUUUGCCACAGUGAUUUGCCCCAAUGUCAGUAUCUUUUGUAUUUUGUUUAGUUCUUUAUUAAACUUGAAAAAUCUGCACUUGCAUCCGUCUCAACCUCCAUAUCGUGACACAAAAAUAUAAAUAUAAUAUAAUAUUAUAUAUAAAAUGUGUGUGGGGGUAUAUAUUAAUAGAGAGAAAGGCAUUUCUUCUCAGGGGGGAGGGGAGUAAUCAAUAGGAAGAAGGAUCUGAGAGGGAACAUGGACAAAAUUAAUGGAACUUUUUCCUGGUUCGGCCCUAAAUUUGGGCCAGAUUAAAUUUCAUCUGUACAAGUUGGACAAUAGGGAUGGGGAACAUAGAUCCAGUACCCUUAAACCCAAUUAGAACUUCUAUUCCAACCAUUAAAACCAUUUUUUAUCUUGAAAUCUAGGGGCUUACCCAAACAAUAAACUCUAAUCACCUAAUUUUUAACCAAUAAAAACUCCCUUUUACAAUGUUGAAACUUAGGGGCCAACCCUAACCCUGAACUUAACCAUCAGAAACAAAUAUGUUCUUUAAACUGAUCCUCCAACCCCCAAUAGUU